CUGGUUGAUCCUGCCAGUAGUCAUAUGCUUGUCUCAAAGAUUAAGCCAUGCAUGUCUCAGUGCAAGCCGUCCUGUACGGUGAAACCGCGAAAGGCUCAUUAAAUCAGUUAUGGUUCCUUAGAUAGUACCCACGUUACUUGGAUAACUGUGGUAAUUCUAGAGCUAAUACAUGCCGACAGAGUUCCGACCAGCGUCGCGGCGGCUUGCGUUCGCGACGUUCGGAAGGAGCGCUUUUAUUAGAUCAAAAUCGGCCAAGCGCGACGUUCGCGUAGCUUAGUGGCCCGCGCAAAGACUUGACGACUCUGAAUAACUUCGAGCUGAUCGCACGGUCUCGCACCGGCGACGUAUCUUUCAAAUGUCUGCCUUAUCAACUGUCGACGGUACGUUCGAUGCUUACCGUGGUGGUAACGGGUAACGGGGAAUCAGGGUUCGAUUCCGGAGAGGGAGCCUGAGAAACGGCUACCACAUCCAAGGAAGGCAGCAGGCGCGCAAAUUACCCACUCCCAGCUCGGGGAGGUAGUGACGAAAAAUAACGAUACGGGACUCAUCCGAGGCCCCGUAAUCGGAAUGAGUACACUUUAAAACCUUGGUCACACGAGGAUCAAUUGGAGGGCAAGUCUGGUGCCAGCAGCCGCGGUAAUUCCAGCUCCAAUAGCGUAUAUUAAAGUUGUUGCGGUUAAAAAGCUCGUAGUCGGAUCUGUGUCCUCGCGACGUCGGACCACCAUGUGCUGCCACGGUCUCCGUGCGCGGCCAGGUGUUUGUUCCCGGCGUGUCAGCGGGACGUCCUGCCGGUACGGGACACGUGUCCGUUGUGGCGCCUCGCGUCGCACGGAAGGCGGCCGCCGUUUAAAUCUGCGCGUGCGAUGCCCUUGUGGUUCGUACGGCGGGCCGGCACGUUUACUUUGAACAAAUUAGAGUGCUCAAAGCAGGCUUUAACGUGGCGGGGUCGCUCCGCGUGCCUCGUCGUACAGCCCUGAAUAUGGUCGCAUGGAAUAAUGGAACAAGACCUCGGUCCCGCCUCUACGCUGUCUCGCAGCGCGUGAACGUAGCCCCUCGCGGCCGUUCCGUGCGCGGGUCGCCGGUCGGGGCCCGCAUUGCGUCCGCGUCGCCCGGUCCUUCCCUUGUGGUUGUGUCUCGGUCACCGUGCGCGGGUUACGCACUGUCGGGAAUCACCCCGAUUGUUGGCCGGUUUUCGGGACUGGAGGUAAUGAUCAACAGAGACAGGCGUGGGCAUUCGUACCGCGGUUAGAGGUGAAAUUCUUGGAUCGUCGCGAGACGAACCGAAGCGAAAGCAUUUGCCAAGUAUGUUCUCGUCUGAUCAAGAACGAAAGUUAGAGGUUCGAAGGCGAUCAGAUACCGCCCUAGUUCUAACCGUAAACGAUGCCAGCUAGCGAUCCGCCGGCGUUCCUCUGAUGACCCGGCGGGCAGCUUCCGGGAAACCGAAGCUUUUCGGUUCCGGGGGAGGUAUGGUUGCAAAGCUGAAACUUAAAGGAAUUGACGGAAGGGCACCACCAGGAGUGGAGCCUGCGGCUUAAUUUGACUCAACACGGGAAACCUCACCAGGCCCGGACACCGGAAAGAUUGACAGAUUGAGAGCUCUUUCUUGAUUCGGUGGGUGGUGGUGCAUGGCCGUUCUUAGUUGGUGGAGCGAUCUGUCUGGUUAAUUCCGAUAACGAACGAGACUCUGUCCUGCUAACUAGGCGGGUUCCUCGUCGCCCGCGGAUGCGUUCGGCGCCUUCUGGGUGUCGUGCGCGCCGUGGUCUCCGACGAACCGGUAUCCCCGAACGCGGUCGGUCGUCGUUCACGGCGCCUGUGGCCUUCAGGUUUUUCGUUGCGGCGGUGCUCUCGGGUGUCGUCGUGGCGGAUGGCCGGUUGGUUGUGGGUGUCGCCGGCGAUCUUCAGCCGCCAAUAGCUACCGCCGGCUGAUAAAGCUUAAACUCUUCUUAGAGGGACAGGCGGCGGACAAAUAUAGCCGCACGAGACUGAGCGAUAACAGGUCUGUGAUGCCCUUAGAUGUUCUGGGCCGCACGCGCGCUACACUGAAGGAAUCAGCGUGUAUACCCUUCCUGGGCCGAGAGGCUUUACCAGGAAACCCGCUGAACCUCCUUCGUGCUAGGGAUCGGGGCUUGCAAUUGUUCCCCGUGAACGAGGAAUUCCCAGUAAGCGCGAGUCAUCAGCCUCGCGUUGAUUACGUCCCUGCCCUUUGUACACACCGCCCGUCGCUACUACCGAUUGAACGACCGCAGUGAGGUCUUCGGACCGAGGUGCGACGGCAUUCGUGCCGGCUUGCAUCGCCGGGAAGAUGACCGAACUCGGCCGUUUAGAGGAAGUAAAAGUCGUAACAAGGUUUCCGUAGGUGAACCUGCGGAAGGA
rnacentral:rRNA from 1 species